CUCUGAGGAGAGAAGGCGUUUUG
rnacentral:piRNA from 1 species